AGAAUCAACGCUGGCGGCGUGCCUAACACAUGCAAGUCGAACGAGAAAGGGACUUCGGUCCUGAGUAAAGUGGCGCACGGGUGAGUAACACGUGACUAACCUACCUUUGAGUGGGGGAUAACCUAGGGAAACCUGGGCUAAUACCGCAUAAUACCUACGGGUCAAAGCGAGCAAUCGCGCUUUAAGAGGGGGUCGCGGCAGAUUAGCUAGUUGGUGAGGUAAUGGCUCACCAAGGCAAUGAUCUGUAUCCGGCCUGAGAGGGCGCACGGACACACUGGAACUGAAACACGGUCCAGACUCCUACGGGAGGCAGCAGUGGGGAAUUUUGCGCAAUGGGGGAAACCCUGACGCAGCAACGCCGCGUGGAGGAUGAAAUCCCUUGGGAUGUAAACUCCUUUCGAUCGGGACGAUAAUGACGGUACCGAUAGAAGAAGCCCCGGCUAACUUCGUGCCAGCAGCCGC
rnacentral:rRNA from 1 species